rnacentral:lncRNA from 1 species
CAUUUCAUUGGCAAAAGAAGCAUUUAGGCAUGUAUCAAAUGGCACAUGAAGCAUUUAGGCGCAUAUCAAAGGCAUAAGAGUGUUUGGGGGCAUAAUAAUGACAAACGAAACACUUCAAAGUAUAACAAGUGAACCGAAUAAUAAACACAAGCUGUAUGUCAUUUUUGAUGUAGCAUGCAUUCCAUUUUUAUCCAAAGCAUAAUAUGAACUCAUAAACAAUGCUUUGGAUAUCAUAUC